GGCGGCGUAGCUCAGUUGGUUAGAGCAGCGGAAUCAUAAUCCGCGUGUCCUAGGUUCGAGUCCUAGCGCCGCUA
rnacentral:tRNA from 1 species